AACGCGAAGAACCUUACCUGGUCUUGACAUCCACGGAAGUUUUCAGAGAUGAGAAUGUGCCUUCGGGAACCGUGAGACAAGUGCUGCAUGGCUGUCGUCAGCUCGUGUUGUGAAAUGUUGGGUUAAGUCCCGCAACGAGCGCAACCCUUAUCCUUUGUUGCCAGCGGUCCGGCCGGGAACUCAAAGGAGACUGCCAGUGAUAAACUGGAGGAAGGUGGGGAUGACGUCAAGUCAUCAUGGCCCUUACGACCAGGGCUACACACGUGCUACAAUGGCGCAUACAAAGAGAAGCGACCUCGCGAGAGCAAGCGGACCUCAUAAAGUGCGUCGUAGUCCGGAUUGGAGUCUGCAACUCGACUCCAUGAAGUCGGAAUCGCUAGUAAUCGUGGAUCAGAAUGCCACGGUGAAUACGUUCCCGGGUCUUGUACACACCG
rnacentral:rRNA from 1 species